UCCGAAUUUUAGAUGAAAAAC
rnacentral:piRNA from 1 species